UUCUUAUGAAUAGUUCUUUGUGGUGCUAUUACAAAGACACCCUUACAUUUAAUGAGUUGCCGGAUUUGCCCUUGCUUAGCUUUGUACAUUUGCUUGCCAUGGAGGAUACAGCUGUUCUUUAGGCCUUCCUUUGACUGCCAGCUAAGGUUGGUUGAUGCUUGGCUGCUAUUUCUCAUUUCCUCGACUCUCCUUUCACCGACUUCCUUCUCUCUCUCUCAGAAACCUAGAGAGAGAAAUCUUCGACACCAGUGAUCGGUGCUCUCAGAUUAUUAAUCGAAAUUCAGCAAUCACCGAUCAUCCAUUCGAUGAUGAUUAUGGGGCUUCGGUUCUUCUUUGGGCUACCACAGCUCGUUGCUGAAAAUGUUCUGGCUUUCAAUGAGGGUUUCUGGAUUCGGCUUGCUGCCAGAACUGAUACCUGCAAAUCAGAGGAUGAUAAAGCAUGAAAGAUUAUGAAGAAUUGGCAGCAACGCUAAUGAGUACAGUAGACCGUCUUGUUCCCAAAACCAAUG